rnacentral:rRNA from 1 species
AUUGAACGCUGGCGGCAGGCCUAACACAUGCAAGUCGAGCGUGGGGCGGGCGUGUGUGAAAUGUAUGGGACUCUCCCUGAUGGAGGGGGAUAACUCGUGAACACGGUAGAAAAUACCGCAAACCAUCAGAUGAACCCAUAUGGGAUUAGCUUGUAGGUAGGGUAACGGCUCACCUAGGCGACGAUCCCUAGCUGGUCUGAGAGUAUGAUCAGCCACACUGGGACUGAGACACGGGCCAGACUCCUACGGGAGGCAGCAGUGGGGAAUAUUGCACAAUGGGCGCAAGCCUGAUGCAGCCAUGCCGCGUGUAUGAAGAAGGCCUUCGGGUUGUAAAGUACUGUCAGUCGGGAGGCGUUACCGACAGAAGAAGCACCGGCUAACUCCGUGCCAGCAGCCGCGGUAAUUC